CCAAAUAUCCAGAGCCCCAUUACCCAAAUGCGUGGCAGCAGAGAGGAAACCCCCCAAAACAGCAAGAUGACUGCUCGUCCAUUUUAAGGCACCAGAGUCUGGGUUUGGGAUCUCUCGAAAUGAAUCAUUAGAAAGGUCAAAGGAUACGAUGAUCCGACCAGGCCGUGAAGUGUACUUGGCCAGUUGACUCAUCCAGUGAAGUCUCCCACUUACCAAAACUCCUGGUGAAGACCUUUUCUCUAGUCUGUAAGGUGUUUCCCCUAUGCUGCUCCAUUCAUUGGUACCCAAAUUAUAAAUCUGAACAUCUGAUCUAAGUGAUGUCAUUAAUCCGUUGCAUUUCCUAGCAAUUUUAAGAUUGUUGGCAUUCGGAUAGUAAACUAUCUUGAUCACUUUGUACUCUUUAGUAAUUGGAUGGAACCCAAAUCCAAACAUGACAAUCUGAUCUUGGAUUUUAAUAGACUUUGGUAUCACUUUAUAGUCCCUUGUAAACGGAUUGUAUAUGUAUACGGAAUCAGCUAAUGAUGAAUCAAUUAAGCAUAAAAGGCCAUUGACUGAGCCAAUCACACUAAAUUCUGGCGUGAAAUCAGAAAAGGGAGUAUCAAAUUUUCUCACUAUUUGAUUGUCGUCGUCAUCCAAAAACUCAAGAAAAUGAAGCUGGUUUCGAAGCGGAUAUUUAGAAUGGAAAAUGAGGCAUACCCUUUGAUAAAUCAUUGUCAUGGACAUGUGCAUAUGAACGAGAAGUGGAUCACAAGACAACAGGUUCCAUGAUCGACAAGCAAACCUGGAUUGGAUAACAGAUUUGAUAGGCAAUCUAGACAGUAUGUCAAGGGCGAUUUCAUUUGGCAAACAACUUAAACUAUUUGUGGUCUCAUCUUCUUCUUUAUAGCACUUCCUGUUCUUGAAAUCCAUGCUCUGAUUGCUAUCAGGAAUCAAAAGGGUGAUUGGAUUUAAAGAAAGCUUGAAAAUGUCAUGAUAUUGCAAUUAUUGUUUCGAGCAGUUGACCGUCUAAGAAGUUGGAAACCACACAAUCGUCCUUUCAAAAUUAAAUUUUGACUUUGAACAGAUUUAUGGUCGAAAAUUGACGACUGGGACUAGAGUGCAACAAUAGUAAAAGUUUGACAUAGAACAUGUUUCUUUUUGAAGGUUAAUACCCAACUUGCUAUUCAGACAAUAUCAAUGCUACAAUUAUUUCUUUAGGCCCCCCGCCCUCCCCCCGCCCCCUUCCUUCUUUCCGCGGCAAAUGAGUGCUUUUAGCUCAUUUUUUGAGUUUGCUUUGCUCGAGUUGAAUAUUUCAUAUAUAAUAGUCACUUUGUUAUACUCAUGGAUGGAAUUCGAAUCCAAAUACAACGAUUUCACCAUGGAAUUCAAUGAACUUCACUUUUAUAGUCCCUUGUAAAAUGAUUGUAUAUGAAUAUCGAGUUAGCAAAUAAUGAAUUAACCAAGCACAUAAAGGCCGUUGCACAAACCAAUCAUACUAUAUUCUGGAAAAUGGAGUAUCGAUUUUUCUCACAAUUUCAUAGUCAUCAAUAGCAGAAUAUUUAACAAACUAAUGCUGGCUCCGAAUUCAAUAAUCUCAGUGGAAAAUUAGGCAAACAUUUGAUCAAUCACUGCCCUGGACAUGUACAUACUAACGAGGUGUGGAUCAUGAGAAAAUAGGCGCCAUGAUCGAAAGCCUAAAUUGGAAAAUGGGCAGCCUAAGGAAUAUGUCAAGGACGAUUUCAUGUGGCAAACAACUUAACCGAUUUCUGGAUUCAUCUUCUUCCUUCUUGCACUUCCUUUUCUUGAAUUCUCAAUGGUUAGAAAAUUUUGGCAGAUAGGCUACGGCAGUCCAUUUGGCUUUUUCUUAAUAACAAAAGAUUGAAAUGGUGACUGGAACUAAAGAAAGGUUUCUUUCUUAUUUAUUAUUCAAACUUAAGCAAGAAGCACAAACAAAAUACAAGUUUAACUGUCCUUCGAGAAGAGUUUUUGUAAAACGUGCUUGCAUGCUUAUAACCGAGUUCCAAGUGAUGAUACUUACUUGAAAUCACAAAAUCGAGGUUGAAUUACUUGACUUUGAUUCGCUUGCUUUCCACACCAUCUUGUACCCGCCUCUUGGUCAGAAAUUCGAUCACAAUGAAAGGAAUUUGAUAGUCACAAUCCAAGAACCCAAUUUGAGAUGUUAUAUUCCAAAAUUCAAGUCUUUUUCCUCAUGUAUUUUCUUCCACGCCCUUUAACCCGAAUUUUCUUUUGUUCUUUCUUCAGAAGGAUGAAUAACGAAAGUUGAUGGGAGUUAUUGGAGGUGGGGAGGUUAACUUUUAAAUUCAAUAAACUCUCCAGUAUCUGGAUUAUAGCAAACCAAAGUUCCUCCUUUGUACUCCACCAAGAUUUCACCUGUCUUCAUAACGCAUAGAAUCCGGACUGAAUUCCCACCCAAAAAGUUAUGCAAACUCACUCCCCCAUUCUGCAAUUCAGGACCAAUAAUCCUUGGAGAGUAGGCUCCAAGAGUAAACAUCUUCACCCAAGACUCUGGUACACCAUAUUCUUUCAUCACCCAAAUAUCCAGAGCCCCAUUACCCAAAUGCGUGGCAGCAGAGAGGAAACCCCCCAAAACAGCAAGAUGACUGCUCGUCCAUUUUAAGGCACCAGAGUCUGGGUUUGGGAUCUCUCGAAAUGAAUCAUUAGAAAGGUCAAAGGAUACGAUGAUCCGACCAGGCCGUGAAGUGUACUUGGCCAGUUGACUCAUCCAGUGAAGUCUCCCACUUACCAAAACUCCUGGUGAAGACCUUUUCUCUAGUCUGUAAGGUGUUUCCCCUAUGCUGCUCCAUUCAUUGGUACCCAAAUUAUAAAUCUGAACAUCUGAUCUAAGUGAUGUCAUUAAUCCGUUGCAUUUCCUAGCAAUUUUAAGAUUGUUG
rnacentral:lncRNA from 1 species